rnacentral:rRNA from 1 species
CCUACGGGUGGCAGCAGUGGGGGAUAUUGCACAAUGGGGGGAACCCUGAUGCAGCAACGCCGCGUGAGUGAAGGAGCAUUUCGGUGUGUAAAGCUCUAUCAGCAGGGAAGAAGAUGACGGUACCUGAGUAAGAAGCCCCGGCUAACUACGUGCCAGCAGCCGCGGUAAUACGUAGGGGGCAAGCGUUAUCCGGAUUUACUGGGUGUAAAGGGAGCGUAGACGGCGAGACAAGUCUGGAGUGAAAGCCCGGGGCUCAACCCCGGGACUGCUUUGGAAACUGCAUGGCUGGAGUGCAGGAGAGGCAAGCGGAAUUCCUAGUGUAGCGGUGAAAUGCGUAGAUAUUAGGAAGAACACCAGUGGCGAAGGCGGCCUGCUGGACAGUAACUGACGUUGAGGCUCGAAAGCGUGGGGAGCAAACAGGAUUAGAUACCCGAGUAGUC